rnacentral:misc_RNA from 1 species
CCGAGUGAGGGCUGCCUCCGGGCGCCCAACCUCCCACCCGUGAAUACCUAACACUGUUGCUUCGGCGGGGAGCCCUCUCGGGGGCGAGCCGCCGGAGACCACUGAACUUCAUGCCUGUAGUGAUGAGUCUGAGCCUAAAUGAAAAUUUAGUCA